rnacentral:rRNA from 1 species
AGUGGCAAACGGGUGAGUAACACGUGGGCGACCUACCUCAGAGUGGGGGAUAACCUUCCGAAAGGAGGGCUAAUACCGCAUGACAUCCCGUGUUUGGAUACACGGAGAUCAAAGCCGGGGAUCGCAAGACCUGGCGCUUGGAGAGGGGCCCGCGUCCGAUUAGCUAGUUGGUGAGGUAACGGCUCACCAAGGCUCCGAUCGGUAUCCGGCCUGAGAGGGCGGACGGACACACUGGAACUGAGACACGGUCCAGACUCCUACGGGAGGCAGCAGUGGGGAAUUGUUCGCAAUGGGCGCAAGCCUGACGACGCAACGCCGCGUGGAGGAUGAAGAAUUUCGGUUCGUAAACUCCUUUCGACCGAGAUGAACACCCAGGGACUUAAUACGUCUCUGGGCUGACAGUAUCGAGAGAAGAAGCCCCGGCUAACUCUGUGCCAGCAGCCGCGGUAAUACAGGGGGGGCAAGCGUUGUUCGGAAUUACUGGGCGUAAAG